rnacentral:rRNA from 1 species
UACGAAGGGGGCUAGCGUUGCUCGGAAUCACUGGGCGUAAAGCGCAUGUAGGCGGCUUUCUAAGUCAGGGGUGAAAUCCUGGAGCUCAACUCCAGAACUGCCUUUGAUACUGGAGAGCUUGAGUCCGGGAGAGGUGAGUGGAACUCCGAGUGUAGAGGUGAAAUUCGUAGAUAUUCGGAAGAACACCAGUGGCGAAGGCGGCUCACUGGCCCGGUACUGACGCUGAGGUGCGAAAGCGUGGGGAGCAAACAGG